rnacentral:rRNA from 1 species
ACGCUCGACACCUACGAGAGGCAGCAGUUGGGAAUAUUGGACAAUGGAGGAAACUCUGAUCCAGUGACGCCGCGUGAAGGAAGAAGGUCUUCGGAUUGUAAACUUAUUUUGUCAGGGAAGAAAAAUGACUGUACCUGAAGAAAAAGCACCGGCUAACUACGUGCCAGUAGCCGCGGUAAUCUGAGCGGGCUGGCAAGGC